UUUUGCUAUUUGCAAAUUUCUUUAAUAGAUACCAAACUUUGGUUGUAAUUAUCUAAACCAAUGUAACUGCAUGUCCCAAACCAGAUAAGCUAAUCAGUUCUUGAUAAUCAGUAAUCAAAAUGUUAGCUAUUAUUUAUUAAAAUAAACCAGUCAAACUACUUUAGCUGCAAGAACAAACUGUUUCAUAGCUGGUAACCGAACAUAUGUACUUAAAUUUAAUACAAUGUUGAUUAAAACAUUGUCAUGAAUUUAUUUAUAGAUAACACAAUCAAAGUCAUUAUUUGGACAUUCAUCAAUUUAUUUAUUUGUAGUAAACUUUUCUAGCAGCCAUUAAAUCAUCAUUUGAUUAAUAUUUGCCUAUGUCGAAUGUAUGAAGUUAAAAUAAAAAUGUAAGUAUUAUCACAAAACUGUUUAACAAUAUUUAAUUAAAAUAUUGUUAAAACUAGUUGGCACUGUUGGCAGCACUGCGUCCGAGUCAGUACAUUAAAGUUAUAUGCGAUUCACGUUAGAACUCGUUCUCUGCGUUCGGUCAUUAUUGUGUGGCUUGGCUGGUGAAGGCGGCAAAUCGAAUUGAUUUUCACAUUCCUAUUGUUUUCGGGAGAUUUGUAGCGACAUUAUGUAUAUAAAAAAAACUUAGUAAACGUGUUUUCGUAAUACAUAGUGCAAUGGCAGACGGUCAAGACGAGACCUCCGCUGAUCCUAUGAGUGACUAUUUGCGCUUAUGGGGUCUUGAAAUGUACAUAAAUUUGUUCAAAGCAUAAUAUCCAUGAUGAUAGCAUCCCUGCAUCAUCGCAUCAUCAAAUGCUGUGUGUAUCAAUAACUUGCCAAUCCUUACUGAUAGCACCAUACAUUACCUACUAGUAUAUUGCUGAAUCAGGACUUGAAAACUUACAGAACUUGGACAAAUAUACAGAAUGAGGAAGUACCAAACUUAAAUACAAAUGGAGUAUACAACACUUUGAGUUCAUGUAAUGAAGGAAAAGGACUACUUCUUCGCUACAAAGAAAACGGAAUGAAUUCCUGAAAGUUAGCCUCUCCCGGUGUGCACUGAAUUAUAUAAAAUGAAGAAAACAGACUAUGAUUGUUAUGGUAAAUUUUAAACUCAAGUAAUGUGUUUGACAUUAAUUUGGGCUAAGCAAUGUCUUAUUAAUAUUUGGUUAACUAUUCUUUAUUUUUAUUAGCCCUAUUUAUGUUUUAUAAUAUAUUGGUGUUUGAUUACCAGUUAUUAUACAAUGGAGAUACUACAGCGUAUGUAACUUCAAUUUAAUAAUCUGGAUUUUCUUGAGUGAAUGACAAGACAUUAAAUUGUGUUAUUUUAUUU